rnacentral:rRNA from 1 species
GUCCACGCCCUAAACGAUGCCUGCUAGCUGUUUCGAGUAUCGACCCUCGGAGUGGCGUAGCUAACGCGUUAAGCAGGCCGCCUGGGAAGUACGAGCGCAAGCUUAAAACUCAAAGGAAUAGACGGGGACUCGCACAAGCGGUGGAACAUGAGGUUUAAUUCGACGGUAAGCGAGAAACCUUACCAGGGCUUGAAAUUCUGACUGAAAGCCGGCCGAAAAGGUUGGCCCUCUCUCAAGGACAGUCAGUCCAGGUGCUGCACGGUUGUCGU